rnacentral:rRNA from 1 species
UACGUAGGCAGCAAGCGUUGUUCGGAAUUACUGGGCGUAAAGAGUGUGUAGGCGGUGCUCUAAGUUCGGUGUGAAAUCUCCUGGCUUAACUGGGAGGGUGCGCCGGAAACUGGAGUGCUCGAGCGUGGGAGAGGAAAGGCGGAAUUCCUGGUGUAGCGGUGGAAAUGACGUAGAUAUCAGGAGGAACACCCUGCGGUGUAGACGGCUUUCUGGACCAUAGCUGACGCUGAGACACGAAAGCGUGGGUAGCAAACAGG